AGCCUCGUAGCUCAGUUGGCAGAGCAUUGGACUAGUAUCCCAAAGGUCGCGGGUUCGAUUCCCGCCGUGGCCA